UGGUCAAGUUAUUAAGGGUGCAGGGCGGAUGCCUUGGCACUAGGAGCCGAUGAAGGACGUGAUAAGCUGCGAUAAGCUUCGGGGAGUUGCACGUAAACUUUGAUCCGAAGAUUUCCGAAUGAGGAAACUCACUUAGAGUAAUGUCUAAGUAUCAUUAAGUGAAUACAUAGCUUAAUGAGGGGAACUCAGGGAACUGAAACAUCUAAGUACCUGAAGGAAGAGAAAGAAAUUCGAUUCCGUAAGUAGCGGCGAGCGAACGCGGAUUAGCCCAAACCAAUAAAGUUUUCUUUAUUGGGGUUGCGGACAUAUCAUAACGAAGAGGUAUCGUAAUUGAAGAGGUUUGGAAAGACCCACCACAGAAGGUAAUAGUCCUGUAUGUUAAACGAGAAGACUUCAGAUAUGAUCCAGAGUACCACGGGACACGUGAAACCCUGUGGGAAGCAGGAGGGACCACCCUCCAAGGCUAAAUACUACCUAGUGACCGAUAGCGUAUAGUACCGUGAGGGAAAGGUGAAAAGAACCCCGGGAGGGGAGUGAAAUAGAACCUGAAAC
rnacentral:rRNA from 1 species